rnacentral:rRNA from 1 species
GCGGCGGACGGGUGAGUAACACGUGGGUAACCUGCCUGUAAGACUGGGAUAACUCCGGGAAACCGGGGCUAAUACCGGAUGCUUGAUUGAACCGCAUGGUUCAAUUAUAAAAGGUGGCUUUUAGCUACCACUUACAGAUGGACCCGCGGCGCAUUAGCUAGUUGGUGAGGUAACGGCUCACCAAGGCAACGAUGCGUAGCCGACCUGAGAGGGUGAUCGGCCACACUGGGACUGAGACACGGCCCAGACUCCUACGGGAGGCAGCAGUAGGGAAUCUUCCGCAAUGGACGAAAGUCUGACGGAGCAACGCCGCGUGAGUGAUGAAGGUUUUCGGAUCGUAAAACUCUGUUGUUAGGGAAGAACAAGUACCGUUCGAAUAGGGCGGUACCUUGACGGUACCUAACCAGAAAGCCACGGCUAACUACGUGCCAGCAGCCGCGGUAAUACGUAGGUGGCAAGCGUUGUCCGGAAUUAUUGGGCGUAAAGCGCGCGCAGGCGGUUUCUUAAGUCUGAUGUGAAAGCCCCCGGCUCAACCGGGGAGGGUCAUUGGAAACUGGGGAACUUGAGUGCAGAAGAGGAGAGUGGAAUUCCACGUGUAGCGGUGAAAUGCGUAGAGAUGUGGAGGAACACCAGUGGCGAAGGCGACUCUCUGGUCUGUAACUGACGCUGAGGCGCGAAAGCGUGGGGAGCGAACAGGAUUAGAUACCCUGGUAGUCCACGCCGUAAACGAUGAGUGCUAAGUGU